rnacentral:rRNA from 1 species
UACGGGGGGAGCAAGCGUUGUUCGGAUUUACUGGGCGUAAAGGGCGCGUAGGCGGCCAGCACAAGUCAGUUGUGAAAUCUCCGAGCUUAACCCGGAGCGGCCAAGUGAUACUGUCGUGCUAGAGUGCGGAAGGGGCUACUGGAAUUCUCGGUGUAGCGGUGAAAUGCGUAGAUAUCGAGAGGAACACCUGCGGCGAAGGCGGGUAGCUGGGCCGACAUUGACGCUGAGGAGCGAAAGCCAGGGGAGCAAACGGG